AGAAGAGGACAGUCCGCAAGGGGCGGAAGACAAGACAAAAAUGACUCCAGUUCGCUAGACGCGCAGAGGGGCGGAUAGCGCGCGGACCCCGCCUUCCCCAACCGAGUGUGGGUUCCAGUCGCUGGGGAGGACCUGGUGGCCCCCUGACCUUGGACGAGCCAUAUUGGACGCCCCGGCGCCGUCCCGUCUUCCACGCUGCCAACUCCACCGCUCCCGCCCCGAACUGCGGCCUAGGAGCCACCGCAGCGCACCCAGCCCGCGAGUACAGCCGCAUGGGAAUAAUCCCAACAUUUGCCUGAUUUAUUUUCUUCCCUCUCCUUACGCUUGUACUUGUUUUUCUCCUCUCGCUGUUUUCCCUUCACACUAAUUCGCAACCUGGCAGUUUGCAAAGAGGAAACUCCCUUUCGGAAUGGAAAGCCGCUUUUGCUUCUUGUUGUUGGGGGUGGAAAACAUUCCAGCGAGAAUGAGUUCAAAAAGAAGGGAAACCGCGUCACUGGAGAGAAAGUAACAUUAAGAGAUCGAUGAGGACGGAGUGGGUAGGGGGGACAGAGAGAGGAACGUCUGCAACAGGCAUCUAAAAACAAGCGUGGAGGAGCAAAGAUUCCCAAUCCCCGGGUUACUACCGCGCGCGUUCUGCGCGAGCCAUUGCAAUGCCAGCAUUUACUGUAAGCAGAAUUUGAAGGCUUUUGAAAUCUUUUUUUGGUAAGACUUACCUUUCUCUUCGGCAUAAUGACUAUGUCGGUGAAGCAAAAAGUAAAGCAACGGACUGGAACUGCUGGCGCCGCCGCUGGAUGCUGCCUCUGCCUCUGCAGCUGCUCACGCGCAGGGCACGACGUAGCCCGGCCUCUUCGACCUGCACCUCCGCGGCUCCCUCUGGGGGCCCUCUGCUCGCCUCCCUGCUGCUCCAAUGAGGAGCCCCGCCAGCCGGCCGCGAGGCCCCAUUGGCUGAGGCAACGUUCUAAAUUCCACGAGGGCACGCCCACCUCCGCGCGCGGUACGCGCUGUUGUAGUUUCCACUUCACCGAAAAAAAUCUGCCUGGCGACUGAGCAUGCCCAGUUCAACUAGUAGCCUCCAGGCCACACAAUCCUGAAGUUUCAUUGUUUCGCUGCUCUCUCUUUGAGAUUGUAAGAAUAAGAACAGUGUGUGUCUUCAUAGGAAGGAAAAAGAGUAAGAAUGAAUACGUAAACUUUAUAAUGUAAAUAUAUACACAGCAGGUACCUUAUUCAUUUCCUACCCAUAAAGGCUUUUAAUGAAUGUUACAUGGUGGGAAUCUGUAAAGCGUGGGAAGGUACUCUGUACUGGAAGAGCGUGGCAACUUCUAAAGGCCUCAGUUUCCCCCCCUAGAUAUAUAGUGACAACAGUCCCUAAAAUCACUUAGCUCUAAUUUUCUGAAAUCUGUGAUUAUAAAUCACUCACUAAUUCAGCUAACUUCAAACUAGAUGUGAAGACGAAUAGGACAUGUUUGUUACGGAAAUUAGGAAAAGAAAGAACAAGGCAAAAACUGAUUAUUUUAUAUUUGAGACAUAUAUUUGAAUGACACCCGUCAUGUUACACUUUAUGCGUAAUAUUUCUCAAAGUUCUGCAAGGCAUAAAAUGAGCAUUGCAAAAAUAUUUCUGAAUUCAUUUUAUGAGACCAGAUUUACUCUGAUACCAAAACCAGUGAAAGACUUCAAAAGAGAGUUACAGACCAAUAUCACUCAUAAACAUAGACACAAAAGUCGUGAACAAAAUUUUAGUAAAUGAAACUCAACAACAUUUAAAGGGACAAUACAUCAUGACCUGUGGGGCUUAUCUUGGGAAUGCAAAGCUGCUUUUUUAAUAUCUGAGAAUCAAUCAAUGUAAUUGGCAGGAUUAAUAGAAUAAAGGGGGAAAAACAAUCCUUUCAGCAGAUGCAGGAAAAGCGCUAGUGAAUGGGUAAGCAAAUUGUGAUGAGCACAUGCAGUGGAAUACUAUUCAGCAAUAAAAAACAAUAAAAAAUUUUCCUACAUGGAUGAAUAUCAAAAACAAAGUGCUGUACGAAAGAAGUCAAAUACAAAAGACCACACUGAAUGAUUGCAUUCAUAUGAAAUUAUAGAAAAAGCAAAAUUGGGCAAAGUUAGUUUCAGAAUCAUCUUAGCAGGCAAAGCUCACAUCAUAGGAAAAUGUGUUGAAGCCUUACAUUACAAAUAUGGCCAAAUCCACUUUGGUAACACAGAGGCUGCAAAUAUGUAUUAAAAAUAUCAUGUAUUAAAUAUGUAUUAAAAAAGCAAUGAAGUUUAAUAUUUCACUUUUUCUUUAGUAAUUUUCAGAAUACAUUAAUUGAUCUAGUACUCUCCAGAGGUGGUUGAUUACUUUCUUUUUUGGAACAUCUUUAUGAACUCAUGGAUUUUUACAUAUUUGGUGUGCAUCAGUGUAUUGCUAUCAUUAUUAUUACCUUUUUAAUGCUCCUAUUACCACAUCUUUAGCCAAUGCAUACCCUUUCAAAUUAGUGCUUGUGUCCUUUUGACAUGAUCUUAAUCAUUUUUGAUAGAUUCCCUGUUCUUGGGCAUUCAGUGAAUGACAAUAGUAUACUGAAACGAAUUAAGAUAAAAACCAAUUGCUUAGAGCUAGAUAAAAAUUUACAAGUUAAUAAUUUUAUCAUUAAAAUAAUAUUUAUAAUGAAGAUGUCUUUCAAGAUAUUAAUUUGCCAAAUACUUGAUAGUUAAAUAAAGAAAAAGUCAGUGAAAACAUUUUUAGUAAGAUAUGUGUGAGAAGGAUACUGAGUAGCACUUGCAAUCUGGACUGGAUGGCUAUUUUUCUUCAUGGAGAUGGAAAGGUGCCACAACAAAGGUAGUGCUAAGGUGAAUAUUUCUCCUCUGUGAUGAAAAAUAACUCACAAAAUUGGCUUCUUUGUUAAUUUUUUUUCAAAACCAAACACUCAGAUCAUCAACAGCAAACAAAAUUGUGAAUGUUUUUACUGCACACAAUAAAAAUGCUACGAU
rnacentral:lncRNA from 1 species